AGGGUGAACGCUGGCGGCGUGCCUAAUACAUGCAAGUCGAGCGCGAUCUUCGGAUCGAGCGGCGAACGGGUGAGUAACACGUUGGAACCUGCCCCAAAGUGGGGAAUAGCUCCGGGAAACCGGGAUUAAUACCCCAUGUGCUCUUUGGAGUAAAGCUUUAUGUGCUUUGGGAGGGUCCUGCGUCCGAUUAGCUAGUUGGUAGGGUAAAGGCCUACCAAGGCGACGAUCGGUAGCUGGUCUGAGAGGAUGAUCAGCCACAUUGGGACUGAGACACGGCCCAAACUUCUACGGAAGGCAGCAGUAGGGAAUUUUCCACAAUGGGCGCAAGCCUGAUGGAGCAACGCCGCGUGCAGGAUGACGGCCUUCGGGUUGUAAACUGCUUUUAUACGGGAAGAUUAUGACGGUACCGUAUGAAUAAGGAUUGGCUAAUUCCGUGCCAGCAGCCGC
rnacentral:rRNA from 1 species